rnacentral:rRNA from 1 species
AUUGAACGCUGGCGGCAUGCCUUACACAUGCAAGUCGAACGGCAGCACGGGAGCAAUCCUGGUGGCGAGUGGCGAACGGGUGAGUAAUAUAUCGGAACGUGCCCAGUCGUGGGGAUAACGUAGCGAAAGCUACGCUAAUACCGCAUACGAUCUAUGGAUGAAAGCGGGGGAUCGCAAGACCUCGCGCGAUUGGAGCGGCCGAUAUCAGAUUAGGUAGUUGGUGAGGUAAAGGCUCGCCAAGCCGACGAUCUGUAGCUGGUCUGAGAGGACGACCAGCCACACUGGGACUGAGACACGGCCCAGACUCCUACGGGAGGCAGCAGUGGGGAAUUUUGGACAAUGGGCGCAAGCCUGAUCCAGCAAUGCCGCGUGCAGGAUGAAGGCCUUCGG